rnacentral:rRNA from 1 species
UACGUAGGGGGCAAGCGUUAUCCGGAUUUACUGGGUGUAAAGGGAGCGUAGACGGUUAUGUAAGUCUGGAGUGAAAACCCAGGGCCCAACCCUGGGACUGCAUUUGAAACUGCCAUACUGGAGUGCCGGAGAGGUAAGUGGAAUUCCUAGUGUAGCGGUGAAAUGCGUAGAUAUUAGGAGGAACACCAGUGGCGAAGGCGGCUUACUGGACUGUAACUGACGUUGAGGCUCGAAAGCGUGGGGAGCAAACAGG